AGAACGAACGCUGGCGGCGUGGAUAAGACAUGCAAGUCGAACGGGAUUUAUUUGGUAGUAAUACUAGAUAAAUUUAGUGGCGAACGGGUGCGUAACACGUGAGUAAUCUGCCGAGAAGUGGGGGAUAGCUCGCCGAAAGGCGAAUUAAUACCGCAUGUGACUAGUGGGGACAUCCCUGCGACGUCAAAGCCGUAAGGCGCUUCUUGAUGAGCUCGCGGCCUAUCAGCUAGUUGGUGAGGUAAUAGCUCACCAAGGCGAUGACGGGUAGCUGGUCUGAGAGGACGACCAGCCACACUGGAACUGAGACACGGUCCAGACACCUACGGGUGGCAGCAGUCGAGAAUUUUCACAA
rnacentral:rRNA from 1 species